GCCUGGAUAGCUUAGCGGGUUAAAGCACUUCCCUGAAAAGGAAGAUUCGCAGGUUCAAGCCCUGCUUCGGGCA
rnacentral:tRNA from 1 species